rnacentral:rRNA from 1 species
AGAGUUUGAUCAUGGCUCAGGAUAAACGCUGGCGGCGUGCCUAACACAUGCAAGUCGAACGAUCCCGCAAGGGAGAGUGGCGGAAGGGUGAGUAACACGUGGGAAUCUACCUCCUCGCAGGGAACAACCUCUCGAAAGAGAGGCUAAUACCCAAAAGGGUCAGAAAUGAUCAGAGUCGAAAGGCGUGAGGAGAGGAGCCCGCGGCCCAUCAGCUAGUUGGUGAGGUAAUGGCUUACCAAGGCUACGACGGGUAGGGGAUCUGAGAGGAUGUCCCCCACACUGGAACUGAAACACGGUCCAGACGCCUACGGGUGGCAGCAGUGAGGAAUAUUGGACAAUGGGCGAAAGCCCGGUCCAGCAACGCCGCGUGGAGGAUGAAGGCCUUCGGGUCGUAAACUUCUUUAGAGGGAGACGAGAAAGGACGGUAUCCCUAGAAUAAGCGACGGCAAACUACGUG